AGUUAUGACUCUGAUCCAAAGCUCAAAGAGGUCAAUGGCAGUCUUUCCAUUGACUUCAGCAGGCUUUGGAUCAUAUCCUUGUUCU
rnacentral:pre_miRNA from 1 species